rnacentral:tRNA from 1 species
GCCGGGGUGGUGAAACUGGUAGACGCACGGGACUCAAAAUCCCGCGGGCUUUGCCCAUGAGGGUUCGAAUCCCUCCCCCGGCA